GCCAUCGGGGAUCAAAGCAUACAGGUUGC
rnacentral:sRNA from 1 species